UUAAGCGACUAAGCGUACACGGUGGAUGCCCUGGCAGUCAGAGGCGAUGAAGGACGUGCUAAUCUGCGAUAAGCGUCGGUAAGGUGAUAUGAACCGUUAUAACCGGCGAUUUCCGAAUGGGGAAACCCAGUGUGAUUCGUCACACUAUCAUUAACUAAAUCCAUAGGUUAAUGAGGCGAACCGGGGGAACUGAAACAUCUAAGUACCCCGAGGAAAAGAAAUCAACCGAGAUUCCCCCAGUAGCGGCGAGCGAACGGGGAGCAGCCCAGAGCCUGAAUCAGUGUGUGUGUUAGUGGAAGCGUCUGGAAAGGCGCGCGAUACAGGGUGACAGCCCCGUACACAAAAAUGCACAUGCUGUGAGCUCGAUGAGUAGGGCGGGACACGUGGUAUCCUGUCUGAAUAUGGGGGGACCAUCCUCCAAGGCUAAAUACUCCUGACUGACCGAUAGUGAACCAGUACCGUGAGGGAAAGGCGAAAAGAACCCCGGCGAGGGGAGUGAAAAAGAACCUGAAACCGUGUACGUACAAGCAGUGGGAGCACAGAGCAAUCUGUGUGACUGCGUACCUUUUGUAUAAUGGGUCAGCGACUUAUAUUCUGUAGCAAGGUUAACCGAAUAGGGGAGCCGAAGGGAAACCGAGUCUUAACUGGGCGUUAAGUUGCAGGGUAUAGACCCGAAACCCGGUGAUCUAGCCAUGGGCAGGUUGAAGGUUGGGUAACACUAACUGGAGGACCGAACCGACUAAUGUUGAAAAAUUAGCGGAUGACUUGUGGCUGGGGGUGAAAGGCCAAUCAAACCGGGAGAUAGCUGGUUCUCCCCGAAAGCUAUUUAGGUAGCGCCUCGUGAAUUCAUCUCCGGGGGUAGAGCACUGUUUCGGCAAGGGGGUCAUCCCGACUUACCAACCCGAUGCAAACUGCGAAUACCGGAGAAUGUUAUCACGGGAGACACACGGCGGGUGCUAACGUCCGUCGUGAAGAGGGAAACAACCCAGACCGCCAGCUAAGGUCCCAAAGUCAUGGUUAAGUGGGAAACGAUGUGGGAAGGCCCAGACAGCCAGGAUGUUGGCUUAGAAGCAGCCAUCAUUUAAAGAAAGCGUAAUAGCUCACUGGUCGAGUCGGCCUGCGCGGAAGAUGUAACGGGGCUAAACCAUGCACCGAAGCUGCGGCAGCGACGCUUAUGCGUUGUUGGGUAGGGGAGCGUUCUGUAAGCCUGUGAAGGUGUACUGUGAGGUAUGCUGGAGGUAUCAGAAGUGCGAAUGCUGACAUAAGUAACGAUAAAGCGGGUGAAAAGCCCGCUCGCCGGAAGACCAAGGGUUCCUGUCCAACGUUAAUCGGGGCAGGGUGAGUCGACCCCUAAGGCGAGGCCGAAAGGCGUAGUCGAUGGGAAACAGGUUAAUAUUCCUGUACUUGGUGUUACUGCGAAGGGGGGACGGAGAAGGCUAUGUUGGCCGGGCGACGGUUGUCCCGGUUUAAGCGUGUAGGCUGGUUUUCCAGGCAAAUCCGGAAAAUCAAGGCUGAGGCGUGAUGACGAGGCACUACGGUGCUGAAGCAACAAAUGCCCUGCUUCCAGGAAAAGCCUCUAAGCAUCAGGUAACAUCAAAUCGUACCCCAAACCGACACAGGUGGUCAGGUAGAGAAUACCAAGGCGCUUGAGAGAACUCGGGUGAAGGAACUAGGCAAAAUGGUGCCGUAACUUCGGGAGAAGGCACGCUGAUAUGUAGGUGAAGCGACUUGCUCGUGGAGCUGAAAUCAGUCGAAGAUACCAGCUGGCUGCAACUGUUUAUUAAAAACACAGCACUGUGCAAACACGAAAGUGGACGUAUACGGUGUGACGCCUGCCCGGUGCCGGAAGGUUAAUUGAUGGGGUCAGCGCAAGCGAAGCUCUUGAUCGAAGCCCCGGUAAACGGCGGCCGUAACUAUAACGGUCCUAAGGUAGCGAAAUUCCUUGUCGGGUAAGUUCCGACCUGCACGAAUGGCGUAAUGAUGGCCAGGCUGUCUCCACCCGAGACUCAGUGAAAUUGAACUCGCUGUGAAGAUGCAGUGUACCCGCGGCAAGACGGAAAGACCCCGUGAACCUUUACUAUAGCUUGACACUGAACAUUGAGCCUUGAUGUGUAGGAUAGGUGGGAGGCUUUGAAGUGUGGACGCCAGUCUGCAUGGAGCCGACCUUGAAAUACCACCCUUUAAUGUUUGAUGUUCUAACGUGGACCCGUAAUCCGGGUUGCGGACAGUGUCUGGUGGGUAGUUUGACUGGGGCGGUCUCCUCCUAAAGAGUAACGGAGGAGCACGAAGGUUGGCUAAUCCUGGUCGGACAUCAGGAGGUUAGUGCAAUGGCAUAAGCCAGCUUGACUGCGAGCGUGACGGCGCGAGCAGGUGCGAAAGCAGGUCAUAGUGAUCCGGUGGUUCUGAAUGGAAGGGCCAUCGCUCAACGGAUAAAAGGUACUCCGGGGAUAACAGGCUGAUACCGCCCAAGAGUUCAUAUCGACGGCGGUGUUUGGCACCUCGAUGUCGGCUCAUCACAUCCUGGGGCUGAAGUAGGUCCCAAGGGUAUGGCUGUUCGCCAUUUAAAGUGGUACGCGAGCUGGGUUUAGAACGUCGUGAGACAGUUCGGUCCCUAUCUGCCGUGGGCGCUGGAGAACUGAGGGGGGCUGCUCCUAGUACGAGAGGACCGGAGUGGACGCAUCACUGGUGUUCGGGUUGUCAUGCCAAUGGCACUGCCCGGUAGCUAAAUGCGGAAGAGAUAAGUGCUGAAAGCAUCUAAGCACGAAACUUGCCCCGAGAUGAGUUCUCCCUGACUCCUUGAGAGUCCUGAAGGAACGUUGAAGACGACGACGUUGAUAGGCCGGGUGUGUAAGCGCAGCGAUGCGUUGAGCUAACCGGUACUAAUGAACCGUGAGGCUUAACCUU
rnacentral:rRNA from 1 species